AUUAUCAUUAUCAUUAUUAUUUUUGUUGUUGUAUGCGACCGCAUUUCGCGGUGUAGGUAGCGCCAAAAUCGCGACACGAUCCCGACCUACCUACCUACAGUCUGCAGCUAUACGACGAUUCGACCGAGCAGGUGUGAUGUGUAUUAUAAUAAUAUUAUAGUAGUAUAAUACACGUACGAACGAUGAUGAUCGUCGUAACGACCACGUGUUUCCAAGUGGAACAACGCCGUGCACUAUAUAUGCGGAAAAUAGAGAUGAGGUACAGAGAGAAGACGCGGUAGCAUUUAAUUAGUGCGCAUAUAACAUUAUACCACGACGGCCGAAAGUUGAUUAUAAUAUUAUUACGUUAACAGUUCAACGCGCGCAUCUGUACCUACAGUUGCACACGACGCAACUACUAUAAAAUUAUAUGAGUCACGCACUCACGCGUCCGUAGGCUUAAUCGUGUUUCGUUCCGACGAUAUGACACCGGCCAGUACCCACCUAUUCGUUGUACCAACUCGUUGUAAAUUAUAAGUUAUCUCAUGAUAUUAAACAUUUUUAUCAAGUGCAUUAUAUUAUUAUAAUUAUUAUUGAUUUGAAAUGUAAAUAUUUCAGUCGACGGUCGAUGUCUGCACGUUACGGCGACGACAGUGAUGUGGUUUUAGGAAACGACGUUCGCGGUUUCUAAAUCAAAGAUUGUAUGGAUUUUUGUGAAAAAAAAAACUUUCAAUCUCAUUUAAAAGAAAUUCAAAUCGUCAUUAUACCUAUUCACGGUGAAAGCGUAGAUCCGAUGUAAUGAACAAUAACGAUAAAAACCAUUAAGCAAUAACCGAAAAAACGUUAUAUUUUAAUUGUAUUAAUUAUUGAAAAGCAACAGUCACGGUUUGAUUUACCAUGCAUAUCAGCAAAACGUUUAAGAAUGUUUUUUAAACCUUUAAAUAUUUACAAAAACAAAUUAAAAUAAAUAGUGAUACCCAAAAGCGCAAAUUAACCUUUUUUCUAUAACCUAAAAGCAUAAAAUGAAUUCGUGCUGUAUUGAACCUUGGUAGUGGGAUAAAAGCACAAAAAAAUGUAUUACCUGCAAAAACAAUAUUUACCCAUUUCACGACAGAUUGCAACUAAAGUUAUUGCAUUUGUCCGUGUUUUAUCGGAACAACUUACGAUGACAAUCGCAGCAAAUCUAAUGUCAUAUCCAAUAUACAAACACGUAACUUAAUAUACAGAAAAAACAAUAUCUAGUUUGAAAUACUUGAAAACUGUGAGCUUCUAAAUGAUUUACAGUUAAAUUUCUGAUACUUGUAAAUUUAAAAUAAU